UUGGUCAUAAUCAGAAGCUGAGUUGAUGAGCUCCUGCCAACAAUGGAAGGCUUGCUGGGCCUGUGGAUUUCAUAUAUUUAUUCGCAAUCAUUUCUGAUAUCUUGCUGGCAAGUGGUAGGAAUCUCAACUAUUCCACAGUAGUAUAAAGUAGUUUGUGAGGUGUUUGGGGUUGGACUAAUUUUGGUGGUGUGAUGGGCAGCUUCUUGUAUGACUUCAUCCUCUUCCCCCGGAUGUGCAGUGUCAGAGUGCUUGUCUGUCCUCAAAGGUGACUGGCCAGCUGAAACCAGUGCACCCCUAGAGCCUCCUGGGGAAUCUGUCAAGCUUACUGAAGGACAGCUGCCGCACACUGGGUCGACAUUUUCAUCAUGCUGUCCACUACAACCCCGAAGUCUCUCUUCUGGUCGGUCACCGCCAGUUCAGACCCCAUGAGCGUAUCAUCAGAAUCAUGGAUAGUUUUAUGGUUAGAGAUAUAGGACAAUGCCACUAUGUCUAGGAAGCAAUUUCCCUCAUGGACUGAUUCUUUCAUAAAUAUUACCUACAUGACCUUCCUGGAAUUAUAUGGUUUUGAGCAAUGCUUGAAGCAGUCCACUUAACUAGCAAUUUCUAUAUACUUUACUGUUCUAUAGUAUUAAAGUCAUUUUGCUAAAGUGGAGGCCUUUUUUUGCCAUCUUAUGGAGAGGAAACUUGGCCUGGUUGGUAUGGUAUUGCAUUUUGGGAAUCAUCAUCCUCUUUUGUUUUGUUUUUCUAUUUGCAUUUCGUUUACUUCUGACCUCACUCCCUUACAUCCAUAGUAGCAAUAACAGUGGUUCCAUGUGCUCACCUCAACCCCCUUAAACCCACUGAUGAUGCACCUUGUUGGUUGCAUGAUGGUUUGUUUCUUGCCCAAUAGUGGUAAAAGAGAGUUCACAUACUGGGAAGUGUGGCUACAAUUAUUGUUGUUCCCAAGCUACUGCCUAUGAAGGUAGACCAAACCAUGUGUGUUUUCUCUCUGUCAAUUAUUACUCACUGGAAUUGGGUUGGCUGUCAAAGUGAGUUUACAGCAGCCCAUAGAAUAGGCACGAAAGAGCAGAGAAUCUUCUUAACUCUUACUCGUUUCCCAGAUCUGUCUCUGCAGUGGUCAAUUCUAUAAAGCGGUCUGGAACAGCCAAGUUAAAAGGUCGGCAGGGGAUUCCAGGCAGGAGAUUGCUAACCCUGCUUUGAUAUCGAUGUUUUUGCAGAGGAUCCCUAGUCAAGCCUUACCAACAGCACAAUCCUAACCAUAUCCACUCAGAAGUAAGCCCUGUUGAGUUCUAUGGAGCUUAGUCCCUGUCCUGCCCAGAGUGAGAGUCACAAAAUGGAGGCGAGGCUGGAAUUAAUUCCUGUUUUAUUAGAGUAACAUCAAAGGCAAUGCGUUUCACAGACUUGGCUGUGCUAACUCACUACAUUCCCUAACUAAGCUACCUAGGCUUACUCUGCAGCGUGUGAAGAAAGUUGACUCAGCAACCGGGUCAGGGGGGCACCGCCUUAAGUAGGGAAGGCCUUCGCUAACAAUCUCUGACUCCUGCAAAGUCCCACCUUCUCUCAACAUCUUGUGCGGGGCGAAGGGGGGGGCGAGCCUCCACCAGCUCAUCUGACAGUACACGCUCAAUAGAUGCCUCAGGAGGUGGAAAAGCAUUUGAAGUGCCAGGCUGGGAAUCCUGGCGGGGUGGAGCUGGCGCACCCACCCGGUCAUCCCUCAACAGCUCUGUUGAGGCAUCUGUAGGGGGAGCGAACUCUGCUUUGGUGGGAGAACUGUCUGUGGGAACUGGCAGGCUGUCAGCUACUCCCAGAGCUUGGAAAAGUUACUUUUUUAAACUACAAUUCCCAUCAUCCCCAGCCAGCAUGUCCACUGGAUUGGGCUGAUGGGAGUUGUAGUUCAAAAAAGUAACUUUUCCAAGCUCUGGCUACCCCCCCUCCCUCAUUGUCCUCGAAAGUCUCAUCUAUCUCUGAUUCCUCUCCCUGCCCUAUCUGAGGAGGCUGGGACUCAGCCGGCUCCCCACCCUGAUUCCCCUGGGAGAGCUGGGGCUCAACAGUCCCUUAGUAAGUGUGUUUUGAAUUGCAGACUUCAGGGGCAUCCAUCUUUACUCCUGAGUGCUCCCAUCUAACAUCUCCACAACACUAGGCUCCCUUCUUCCUACAAUGGCCUUCUGAGGGCACUUAAAUCCUUCUUGCCAGAAGCAAGUAGACUAGAUUAAAUGUUCCUUACCCAGAAUCUCAAAACAGGUUAGAAGGAAUGAUCCCAUCACUUCAGCUGGACCUGGAAACACCCUCAUUUAGCUAAGAUUUCUAUAUUCAUUUCCAAUCAGAGAAUUUUGUUUGUUUGGUGUGCUCCAAGCAACUGUGGUUAAUGCUUAACACAUCAUGCUUAAUGAAAUCACUAGGGCUCCACCCCAUAACAUCACUAGGGCCCUUCCCUGUGACAUCACUAGGGCCCACCCCUGAAAUCUCAGGGUUUGGCUUGCUUCUGACCUGGCAACCCUAAUCUGCAGUAUUACCUGUCCUGAAACUUCUGUUUUCAUUUAAGAAGAAGAAAAAAACCAAUCCAAAUUCCUAGCCUUUAAAGAGCUAGUGAUAUGAAGCAAUGUGGGCAGACACUAUUCUUCACUGCAGAAACUUCUUUUCUUACGGCUGCCUGUGUUGUAACUUCUGUUUGUAAGGCUCCUGUCCAGACAUAAGGAUCUAUAGUGAGAAUACAGAGUGACAGAAAGAAGAGGAUGUGCACCCCUAAUCCAGUAAAGUCCCAUUUAUGUCAAUGGGAAACUUAAUAUCAAUCCUGGGGCUGACCAGUGCGGAACUUUGGCUAGCCUGUGCCACACUUCAUUAAACUUCAAUCAUGCAAAUUUCUUUGAACUUUGAACAGUCUAAAUAUAGAGAUAUUUCUUUAUAAGAUUUCUUACUUGCUCUUCACCAUAAGGUCCCAGGGCAGAUUACAACAAUAUAAUCACAGAGUUAUAAGAACAAGCAGGCUCAGGUUCCUACCAGGACCAUAUCUGGGACACUGGGCAUGCCUUUCCAGCACCGAUAUUUGCUCAGUUUGAAGCAGAAAAAAAAAGCACCAUACAGUAGAGUCUUCAGGGACAACAGAACAUUAGGUCAUAAAGAACAAUGUUGGGGGUGGCUCCAACUCCCUGGUAUGUCCCCCAGGUUAACCAUCUAUAAGGAUGCAGAACACUUGUACCAUUCUCAGGUUCUGAUAGUUGCAUCUUUUACUCUCUCUAUGAAAGCAGAAGAUACAUGACUCCGGUUGCUGACUCUACUGCUCCUGGUCACCUCUUUAGCCGCAUACAGGUUCAGCUGCCUGAGCUGACUGCAAGCAGGUGCACUAAUGACCAUGAGCUAGUUGGCCUUGAGCCAUCCAGGCCUGCCUAGCAACAGCUCAGCAAAGCUGGCCUAGUCAAGCCUGCAGCACACCCAGUCAGAAAAUACAACAGCUAAUACAGCCAGGGGAUACAUUCACAGAUAAGAUUAUUUAGAUAAUAAGGGCUGUAUAAGGCAAAAAGCCUCAGAGAUCUCACCAGUGCUGGUCACGCCUGGUCAGAAGAAUAGAAAAACUGGUGCCCUGCUGUAGAUCCACACAUGACAAGGGUGAGAGAACUCCAUUACCGAUUGUGUUAAGGAGAACUGUAAUGUGAUGUAUAACAUGUAUUGUUUGGUGUACAUCCCCUGUAAUGUGAUGUGUUGAUCUGGAACUCUGAUUCCUUGGCUACAGCCACGCAUAGUAUUAU